GACGAACGCUGGCGGCGUGCUUAACACAUGCAAGUCGAACGCUGAAGCUCAGCUUUUGUUGGGUGGAUGAGUGGCGAACGGGUGAGUAACACGUGAGUAACCUGCCUCCUUCUUUGGGAUAACGCCCGGAAACGGGUGCUAAUACUGGAUAUUCACUGGUCUUCGCAUGGGGGUUGGUGGAAAGGGUUUUUCUGGUGGGGGAUGGGCUCGCGGCCUAUCAGCUUGUUGGUGGGGUGAUGGCCUACCAAGGCUUUGACGGGUAGCCGGCCUGAGAGGGUGACCGGUCACAUUGGGACUGAGAUACGGCCCAGACUCCUACGGGAGGCAGCAGUGGGGAAUAUUGCACAAUGGGCGCAAGCCUGAUGCAGCGACGCCGCGUGAGGGAUGGAGGCCUUCGGGUUGUGAACCUCUUUCGCUCAUGGUCAGGCCGCAACAAUGGUUGUGGUGAGGGUAGUGGGUAAAGAAGCGCCGGCUAACUACGU
rnacentral:rRNA from 1 species